GACCUUAUAGGAGCUCUACUUUUUAAAGGGAGCCUACAAGGAGAGGGACUUUGUUAUGGUGCAUGUCACAAAGAACCCAUGAGAGCAACCUGCACCUUCAGGGACACCCGGAGAACACCACUAGAAGGGUGGGUCAUGGGGCAAAGGCAAAGGGACAGGUCCUCGUUUGGGUAGCUGAAGACUCUUUAUUCCAGGGGUAAGAACAGCCCCAAAUGAAUUCAGCAAUGAAAACAGAUCAGGCUGAAGGCACAGGGUUAAAUAUGGGGCAAACAGGGUGGGUCUGAGGGUCGAGGUCCAAUAGGGACAAGGGAAAGUGCUGCAGGGGAAUGGCUAAAGACCAAGAGAAUCAAUGGGAUAACAGGGGUGGAGCAAUGCUGCAAAACAGGGCCAAUGGGGGUUAAGGGAAGGAAGAACAUUCUAGGAAGGGUACAUAAAUGGCAAAUGGGGGCUGAACAAGGGUGAUGUUAUUUUUUACAAACCUUUAUAAUACCAGAACCUGAAAGGUAGUAACAAAUGACUGCAAAAGCCCUUGGGAAUAAGGUUUUCCUCACCCUAAUCUAUAGGGGUGUCUCUCCUCUCUUGUGUUAUUCCCUCCAGGGUUGAGGCAUUUUGAUAACAGGCCCCUGGGGCUCCACAGGACUUCACAUGGCAUGUAGCAAUGGGACAAUGGGGAAUGCUCUUAAGCUAAGGAAAGUAGGUUUAGAUUAGAUAUUUAGAAGAAAUUCUUUUCUCUGAGGGUGGUGAGACAAUGCAACACGCUGCUGAGAGAACCUGUGGACUCCUCAUCCCUGCAAGUGUUCAAGGCCACGUUGGAUGGGGCUCUGAGCAACCUGGCCAGUGGAAGGUGUCCCUGUCCAUGGCAUGGGGGUUGGAAUUGGAUGAUCUGUAAAGUACCUUCCAACCCAAACCAUUCUAUGAUUCUCUUCUAUUGAAGCCUCACCUUUGCUGGGCUGAGCCUUAAAGGGGAUGUGCUGUCUUUCUUGGAUCUCUCAUGGUAUUGCCUGGAGAUGAAGGAGGCACAAAACAGCAGCUGGGCUCACAUUUCCUGACUCACUGCUUCACAAUGACAUGGCUGCAAAUGACAAAUGUUGGAUGGAGAUGGCAUGCAUGAGGAAAAGGAAGAAAUCCUAAGGAGCAUCCCUGGCCAUGGAAACUGCUAGUUACGAGCCUAAGGAGAGGACCCAUGGCAACAUUCCCACCUUCUGUUGGCUGUGGGUGACAUCAGGGAAAGAAAGAGGACCUGUGGCAGCUCCAUAGCAUGUGCCAAGCCUCACAGGUCUGCCAGGGCCACCAUGCCAAACAUUAUGGACACAUCACUCUGCCUGUGGCAGUCCCUGGGCUGAAGACACAGGCAAACCAAGAGUGGAUGGGCACACAGACAGGAUAGUCUGGGUGUUAGUCCAUGCUUUUUGAUCCACAGCCAUGGCUGGCUAAGGACCUGCAAAAGGAAGUGCUGCUCUGUGAAACUGGGGCAGUGCAUGAAGUGCAGACACAAUCAAAUCUGUAGUCUUUCUUUUUUUCCUCAUUUCUCAAGAAUAAAGCACUGAUGUAGAAGGGUGA